rnacentral:rRNA from 1 species
GAUGAACGCUGGCGGCGUGCCUAAUACAUGCAAGUCGAACGACCACACAAUAAGCUUUCUCCCCUACCGUUAGCGGCUGACGGGCGAGUAACACAUGGAUAACCUACCUCUUUGACUGGGAUGACAUCGUAAAGCCGCUGCUGCUAAUACCUCAUAUAUUCUACCGCAUGAUUCAAUAGUGCAUGACGGCUUUCCUGUCUCUUUUAGCUGGUUUCGCGCCGCAUUAGCUAGUUGGUAAGGUAACGGCAUACCAAGGCGACGAUGCGUAGCUGAUCUGAGAGGGUGAUCGGCCACACUGGAACUGAGACACGGUCCAGACUCCUACGGGAGGCAGCAGUAGGGAAUCUUCCGCAAUGGGCGAAAGCCUGACGGAGCAACGCCGCGUGAGUGAUGAAGGUCUUCGGAUCGUAAAACCCUGUUAUUAGGGAAGAAAAAAUGUGUAAUAAACUAUGCACGUCUUGACGGUACCCAAUCAGAAAGCCACGGCUAACUACGUG